UACGUAGGGCGCAAGCGUUAUCCGGAAUUAUUGGGCGUAAAGAGCUCGUAGGCGGUUUGUCGCGUCUGCCGUGAAAGUCCGGGGCUCAACUCCGGAUCUGCGGUGGGUACGGGCAGACUAGAGUGAUGUAGGGGAGACUGGAAUUCCUGGUGUAGCGGUGAAAUGCGCAGAUAUCAGGAGGAACACCGAUGGCGAAGGCAGGUCUCUGGGCCACUACUGACGCUGAGGAGCGAAAGCCAGGGGAGCAAACGGG
rnacentral:rRNA from 1 species